UCGGAUUGUAGUCUGCAACCCGACUACAUGAAGCUGGAAUCGCUAGUAAUCGCGGAUCAGAAUGCCGCGGUGAAUACGUUCCCGGGUCUUGUACACACCGCCCGUCACACCAUGGGAGUCGGAAAUGCCCGAAGUCUGUGACCCAACCUUAGGGAGGGAGCAGCCGAAGGCAGGUCGGAUGACUGGGGUGAAGUCGUAACAAGGUAGC
rnacentral:rRNA from 1 species